CGGUAACGCGUUUUCCCCCCUCCUCCGCUUUGGACUUGAACUUACAGUGAUUUCUGAAGUGUUUACAAAGACACACCGUAAGCUUUUACAAGGCGUUAACUACAGCAGCCUUUUAUACCUCAACUCUUGAUUCAGCCAAGGUAAGUGCCCCCCCCUUAUAUUUUCUAUGUAUGUGUUCAGCUGAUAUUUAGAAAAAAAUAGGUGUGUUUAGCGCUGGAUGUCAUUUUAUUCCAGAGCUGUUGUUUGUAAUUAAAACUUUUAAGAUUAGAUGGUACAGUGUUUUUACUCCCUUCCAAACAGUAAAGUUCCUCUUUGUUUCUCAGUAGGAAAUUUAAACCAGACAGUACAAGGCUACAUUUCAGUGUUACACAAUCAGUUUGCUAAUUGUUCUGUGAGAUUUGUUUGCAAAGUUUAAGGUGUUAAGUAGGACUGUGAACAUCUGGGUCUGCUUGCUGCUGGCAUUCUGCCAGAGCCCCAGCAACAAGACCGCCUCCCAGCAACGAGAGUGCCUGUCAGCCUUGCAAGGUACCCAAUUUUCCAAUUACUCUAUAACAAAACUGUUGUGGGCAACUAGACUGUCUCCUAAGUUUGCAAGCCAAUCACUUUGCCAAAUGUUCUUGUAAGAUUUGUUUGAAAAGUUUGAGGUGGUAACUGUGAGCUGUGAACAUCUGGGUUUGCUUGCUGCUGGCAUUUGACCAGCGUCUCAGCAACAACACUGCCUCCCAGCUUUGCAAGGUAAUUACUUUCCCAAUUACUGUACACCAAAACGAAGUAACUGUCGUGGUCAACAAAUCUGCCUCCCAACUUUCAAGGUAAUCACUUUCUCAAUUACAAUAUACAAACUGUUAUGGAACUUUACUUAACAAAGCCUUAAGACCGGGUAGUGACACUAUCAAUAUGUCUAUUUAAAGAAAAGAGAGAUUUUUUUUUGUUCUUGUAGUCCUCUUGUCUGUCAAUGUAUCAGAGGGUUAAAAUAACAAAUUGCUUGAAAUGCCAAUAAUUAAUAUUCUGUUUUUAUGUUGACAUUCUACCAGAUGCCGAAAAAAAAUAAAAGAUCCCAGGCACAAAAGAAGCGCUGGAAACCGCUUGACCUGGUCGAUCCUGCAAUGCUCACUGGCCACAACCAAGAUGAGGCAGUCAGUAGUUUUCCAUCUGACCAGCAGACGGCACCAGCCGGGUUAUCUUUGGAAACACAGGAUAGACCCACCUCCUUAUGUUCCCCAGGUACCAAGCAGACAGCACCAGCCAGCUUGUCCUUGGAAACGGAGAAUAGACCCACCUCCUUAUGUCCUCCAGGCAGCAAGAGUUCAGAAACUCGUCCACCAGCAAAACGAGUCUGGGCAACCGAUGAUUUCCACAUGGCAUCAAAUUCUCCACCUAAAAAGCCUUUCCACAACACAAAUGAACAACUACUGACAGAGGAGCUACAGAGCAACGCAGUUCAGCACUUCUGGUGUGUCAGUGCAACUCAUUGUCAAAGUGAUGAAAGGUACACAGAAUUCUCUCGAAAUCAUCAGUGCACAUGUAAUGCCCUCACAUUCCUGGCCUACCUUAAUGAGGAACACCAGUUCAACACAGCCCGACUUGAUAAGGUGCUUGAACAGGGAGAUGCACUCUACUGUUGGAUUAAAACAAAUCUUCAGCAGGAGAGGCGUUAUACACAAGAUCAUCUGACCAUGGAGGACCUGCCCAAAGAAGUUCAUGCUGACAUAAAUGUCUACAGUGUGAAAAUGGACAACAUAAGGUAUGGAUACCUGGAAGCAGCAGACAAAACUUACCAAAGAAAAGAGUGGUGGUUGCCUCUUGCUAGUCGCCUUGUAUGUCUGUCAACAGAUGUGAACUAUGCUUUGCUCAUGGUUUCACCUCAGUGCAUUGCAGUUUUCCGUGACAAAUCUGGGAGGUAUGGAUUAUUUGAUUCACAUUCAAGAAGUGUAGCAGGUUUACCCCAGCCAAAUGGAACAGCAGUCAUGCUCACUUUCACUCAUGUGAAUGACCUGAUCAACCACCUGCAUAACCUUUUUCAAAAUCAAGGCAGGUAUGCAAGAUAUGAGUUUGUGCCUGUUUCUUUCAAAAGAGUCAGCACUCACAACGAACAGCCUGCACAGUCAACUCGGGCAACAGCAGCAACAGCUACAUCAUCACCACAAAAUGAUGAACCACAAAUCACAAAUUCCACUGUGCAAGUGCCUCAACCAGAAUCGGCCCAAACCUACAUGACAAUGUUAGAAAAUACUUCAAACUCAUCACAAGACAAAAUGGCUUCAAAUCAAAUCUGUGAACAUCAACUUGAAACAUCUGUUGACCCAACAAGCAACAUCCAGAAAGAACAACAAGAAAUUGGCCUCAAUAAUGAAAGCGAUAAAGUAAAAGAUAAAACCCACCAAAAAGCAAGAAAUGUGAGCAGAUUAAAUAAAGGACGACGUGGGAAAGCUAUUCGUCAAGCUCAAAAAAGUCAGAGGGAGUAUGUAAAAGCUAAAGACAAAUCUUCAACUGAAGAAGUGGCAAAGAAGACUAACAAAAAAAGACAUGAAAGAGAACGAUAUGCCUGCUGUCGUGAAUUUCGAAUGAAAAGAUUACAGACUAUGAAAAUUCAAUAUGCUGAAAACUGUCAUUACCGUAAACAAAGACUAUUAUCAGCCAAAAAUUAUUAUGCAAAUCCUCAUAUUCAAGAAAAAGUAAAAGCCCACAAGGUGAAGAGAUACCAAAGUGAUCAUCAUUUUCAACGAAAAAUGAGAAACUACAUUAUCAGAAGAUAUACCACAGAUCCUGACUAUCAAACCAGACAGAAGCAAUAUGUGGUCCAGAGGUACAACACGGAUGCCAGCUUUCAAACCAGACAGAAACAAUAUGUGGUCCAGAGGUACAACACGGAUGCCAGCUUUCAAACCAGACAGAAGCAAUAUAUGGUCCAGAGGUACAACACGGAUGCCAGCUUUCAAACCAGACAGAAGCAAUAUAUGGACCAGAAAUACAAAGAGGAUCAUGUCAGAGAAAAGAAGAAGGCAUACAUAAGAACAAAAUAUGCAUCGGAUCCAAACUACAGGCACAAACAAAAAAAAUCAAUUCAUGCCAGGUACCACAAUGACUCACAAUUCAGACUGCACCAUAUACAGCGCUGUGCAGAGUACCAGAGACACAAAAUGGCUACCACUGCAUCUUUCGCCAUUUAUAAAAAGUUGUGUGCGCAGAGAAUAAAGAAGAAAUACAGACGACUAGUAACACAAUUCCAGCAGGGUCCACAGUCUGAAGCACAGCCCCAGCUUGUAGUGAAUAGUGUGAUGCAAGCAGCCACAUUAGCUUUCCG
ensembl:lncRNA